UACGGGGGGGGCAAGCGUUGUUCGGAAUUACUGGGCGUAAAGGGCGCGUAGGCGGCCUGCUAAGUCGGCCGUGAAAUCCCCCGGCUCAACCGGGGAACUGCGUCCGAUACUGGUGGGCUCGAAUCCGGGAGAGGGAUGUGGAAUUCCAGGUGUAGCGGUGAAAUGCGUAGAUAUCUGGAGGAAUACCGGUGGCGAAGGCGGCAUCCUGGACCGACAUUGACGCUGAACGGCGAAAGCUAGGGGAGCAAACGGG
rnacentral:rRNA from 1 species